rnacentral:rRNA from 1 species
AUUGAACGCUGGCGGCAUGCCUUACACAUGCAAGUCGAACGGCAGCAUGGAAGAGCUUGCUCUUCUGAUGGCGAGUGGCGAACGGGUGAGUAAAGCAUCGGAACGUACCGUGUAGUGGGGGAUAACGUAGCGAAAGUUACGCUAAUACCGCAUACGCCCUACGGGGAAAGCAGGGGAUCUUCGGACCUUGCGCUAAUAGAUGAGCCUAAGUCAGAUUAGCUAGUUGGUGGGGUAAAGGCCUACCAAGGCGACGAUCUGUAGCGGGUCUGAGAGGAUGAUCCGCCACACUGGGACUGAGACACGGCCCAGGCUCCUACGGGAGGCAGCAGUGGGGAAUUUUGGGACAAUGGGCGAAAGCCUGAUCCAGCCAUUCCGCGUGAGUGAAGAA